rnacentral:rRNA from 1 species
UACGGGGGGAGCAAGCGUUGUUCGGAUUUACUGGGCGUAAAGGGCGCGUAGGCGGUCAUGACAAGUCACUUGUGAAAUCUCCGGGCUUAACUCGGAACGGUCAAGUGAUACUGUCAGACUAGAGUGCAGAAGGGGCAACUGGAAUUCUCGGUGUAGCGGUGAAAUGCGUAGAUAUCGAGAGGAACACCUGCGGCGAAGGCGGGUUGCUGGGCUGACACUGACGCUGAGGCGCGAAAGCCAGGGGAGCGAACGGG